CCUCAAGAUGAGAUUUCCCAAUUAGUAAGACCCCUUGAAGACGACGAGGUAGAUAGGUUGGAGGUGGAAGUGCAGUAAUGCAUGGAGCUGACCAAUACUAAUCGGUCGAGGGCUUAUCCUAA
rnacentral:rRNA from 1 species